rnacentral:rRNA from 1 species
CAGCCGCCCGGUAAUACGUAGGGUGCGAGCGUUAAUCGGAUUUACUGGGCGUAAAGCGUGCGCAGGCGGCCCGUUAAGACAGGUGUGAAAUCCCUGGGCUCAACCUAGGAAUUGCGCUUGUGACUGGCGGGCUCGAGUACGGUAGAGGGGGGUGGAAUUCCUGGUGUAGCAGUGAAAUGCGUAGAGAUCAGGAGGAACACCGAUGGCGAAGGCAGCCCCCUGGGCCUGUACUGACGCUCAUGCACGAAAGCGUGGGGAGCAAACAGGAUUAGAUACCCUGGUAGUCCACGCCCUAAACGAUGGGUACUAGCCGUUUGGUGCGCGAUAGCGCUGAGUGGCGAAGCUAACGCGUGAAGUACCCCGCCUGGGGAGUACGGCCGCAAGGUUGAAACUUAAAGGAAUUGGCGGG